UACGUAGGUGGCGAGCGUUGUCCGGAUUUACUGGGCGUAAAGGGAGCGUAGGCGGACUUUUAAGUGAGAUGUGAAAUACUCGGGCUCAACUUGAGUGCUGCAUUUCAAACUGGAGGUCUAGAGUGCAGGAGAGGAGAAUGGAAUUCCUAGUGUAGCGGUGAAAUGCGUAGAGAUUAGGAAGAACACCAGUGGCGAAGGCGAUUCUCUGGACUGUAACUGACGCUGAGGCUCGAAAGCGUGGGGAGCAAACAGG
rnacentral:rRNA from 1 species